rnacentral:rRNA from 1 species
UACGUAGGUGGCGAGCGUUAUCCGGAAUUAUUGGGCGUAAAGCGCGCGCAGGCGGUUUCUUAAGUCUGAUGUGAAAGCCCACGGCUCAACCGUGGAGGGUCAUUGGAAACUGGGGAACUUGAGUGCAGAAGAGAAAAGCGGAAUUCCACGUGUAGCGGUGAAAUGCGUAGAGAUGUGGAGGAACACCAGUGGCGAAGGCGGCUUUUUGGUCUGUAACUGACGCUGAGGCGCGAAAGCGUGGGGAUCAAACAGG